rnacentral:rRNA from 1 species
AUACGGAGGAUCCGAGCGUUAUCCGGAUUUAUUGGGUUUAAAGGGUGCGCAGGCGGCCAUUUAAGUCAGCGGUUAAAUCGUGGGGCUCAACCCCAUUCUGCCGUUGAUACUGGGUGGCUUGAUUGCGGUCGAGGUUGGCGGAAUUCGUUGUGUAGCGGUGAAAUGCAUAGAUAUGACGAAGAACACCGAUUGCAUAGGCAGCUGACCAGAACGCAAAUGACGCUCAUGCACGAAAGUGCGGGGAUCGAACAGGAUUAGAUACCCUGGUAGUCCGCACAGUAAACGAUGAAUACUUGUUUUCGGCGAUAUAAUGUCGGAGGCAAAGCGAAAGCGAUAAGUAUUCCACCUGGGGAGUACGCCGGCAACGGUGAAACUCAAAUGAAUUGGCGGGG